GGGGGGAGGCCAGAUCCUGGGCUGUGUCCCCUGGGCCCUGUGCCUCCAGGCCUGUGCUGUUGGAUUCGUGCUCCCGCCCGGCAGCCCCCU
rfam:Canis lupus familiaris chromosome 2, whole genome shotgun sequence.